AUGCACGCUGGCGGCGUGCCUAAUACAUGCAAGUCGCGCGAACGGACGAGAAGCUUGCUUCUCUGAUGUUAGCGGCGGACGGGUGAGUAACACGUGGAUAACCUACCUAUAAGACUGGGAUAACUUCGGGAAACCGUAGCUAAUACCGGAUAAUAUUUUGAACCGCAUGGUUCAAAAGUGAAAGACGGUCUUGCUGUCACUUAUAGAUGGAUCCGCGCUGCAUUAGCUAGUUGGUAAGGUAACGGCUUACCAAGGCAACGAUGCAUAGCCGACCUGAGAGGGUGGUCGGCCACGCUGGAACUGAGACACGGUCCAGACUCCUACGGGAGGCAGCAGUAGGGAAUCUUCCGCAAUGGGCGAAAGGCUGACGGAGCAACGCCGCGUGAGUGAUGAAGGUCUUCGGAUCGUAAAACUCUGUUAUUAGGGAAGAACAUAUGUGUAAGUAACUGUGCACAUCUUGACGGUACCUAAUCAGAAAGCCACGGCUAACUACGUG
rnacentral:rRNA from 1 species